ensembl:snoRNA SNORD83 Small nucleolar RNA SNORD83
GCCACAUGAUGAUGUGAUGAUGUCAUGAUCCUGGGAUGUGAUGACCUCUGACCUAUCACCCUUGACUGAUGGCU